rnacentral:tRNA from 1 species
AGCAGUGUGGCUCAGUGGAAAGAGCCCGGGCUUGGGAGUCAGAGGUCAUGGGUUCUAAUCCCGGCUCUGCCG